GCUGGCAACACACUUCAGCCUCAAGAAAAAACAACUCGGCCUUCACGCAGCAGCGUUUGAAGCUGACCCUGAACACGGAGAACACAAGGAGAAUGAGACAGCAAUAUCUGCUGCAUGUGACUUAAGUAGACUACAGAGUGGAGGCACACUCGGGCACACCCGAAUCAACACAUAUUUUAACAGAGACAAAGGGAGGAAGGGAGUUUGAAAGACAUGGGUGUUUAAAAGUGAGGUGGGGGCAUUAAGGGAGAUUUGGAGACUAAAAGUCAGAAUUGGCCUAUCUUGGCUUCUGCUGCAUCACGUUUGACCAUUGUUUUCUAAAUCUGUGUCUUGUGUGUCACCAAACUUUAUGGAAGUGCGAUACUAAAUCUCUCUUUCAAAAGUGGAUUCUUUUCAUUCUUAUAACAUAGUGGGAUAUAUACUGUACUAUUUGAUUUGGUUUCCUUCAGCUGUUUCUUCUGUGGAUCAGUCCUCCAACUGUUCCUGUGCAGUGUGUCACGUAACAAACCAAAUGCCUAUUUUCUACUUUCUGUUUCAGGAUUAUUCAGCUUGCCUCUUGCAACUCUGCCAAGUUCUCCAAGUCUAUAUUUUCCACAGACCGAGAAACAAUGCUUUUUUUUUUCCUCUUCUAAACAUGGCUUUUAGGAGAAGAAAUCCAGCUCAGUGAGGCUGGCAGUGGACUACUGAAUAACAAAAUGUAGAAAAUAGGCAUU